rnacentral:rRNA from 1 species
GACGAACGCUGGCGGCGUGCCUAAUACAUGCAAGUCGAACGCAGUGGGGACGGGUGAGUAACACGUGGGUAACCUCCCAUCAGAGGGGAUAACACUUGGAAACAGGUGCUAAACCGAUACUUAUGGAUGGACCCGCGGUGCAUUAGCUAGUUGGUGAGGUAACGCCUCACCAAGUCCACGAUGCAUAGCCGACCUGAGAGGAGGAUCAGCCACACUGGGACUGAGACACGGCCCAGACUCCUACGGGAGGCAGCAGUGGGGAAUAGUGCACAAUGGGCGCAAGCCUGAUGCAGCCAUGCCGGGUGUAUGAAGAAGGCCCUAGGGUUGUAAAGUACGUUCAGUCGGGAGGCGUUACCGACAGAAGAAGCACCGGCUAACUCCGUGCCAGCAGCCGCGGUAAUAC